rnacentral:rRNA from 1 species
UCGUGUGUUGACUUGUCUGGUUAAUUCCGAUAACGAACGAGACCUUAACCUGCUAAAUAGUGUGUCUGUAUGUUUUAUACUGCGCACUUCUUAGAGGGACAAAGUAUGUUUAAUACUUGGAAGUUUGAGGCAAUAACA